UUUUUGCAAAAGAGAUAGCAGCGGCAGCCUUUUAUGACGCUUUCGCGGAAUAAAAGCUAUAGCGAAUAGCCCGACCCAAA
rnacentral:sRNA from 1 species